rnacentral:lncRNA from 1 species
GUCAUUUUCUAAAUAUUUAUUUUCUAAUUAUUUUUAUCAUCAUGAUCAUUAUUAUUAUAAUAAAUAAUUGUUGUCUUCAUUAGAAUAUUUAUUUUAUUGUAGUAAUUUAAAGCAAUUUUCUGACAACACAGACGCGCGCGUGCGCAUCAGAGUGUGUGAUUGAUUGGCACGCGCGCUGUGACCGCAUUCCGUCGCGUCGCGUCGCGGGGAGGAGACGCCAGAGACGCGUCGCGGGCGGAGCGGAGCGGAAGGGAGCUGCUGGAGGUCGCGCGCUGAACGCCGGUGGACGCGGUUCUGGAUCGGAGCGCACCGGAGAGAACGGGGAGCGCCGCCGGUUCACCGAGAGUUCCCGAGCAGAAAGAGACGAGCAGCGGCAAAACACAGACGGAGGCUGGUUCGGGAGGGUUCCUCCACAGCGGCUCUGCAGGACUGAAGCUGGAGCAGAUGAUGGAGACGGAGCAGAAGGAGAUCCGGCUGCGUGAAGCUCACAUCAUGUACGUGCAGCAGCUCGCCGCUCGGGCUUCAGGGGCCGGCUUCAUGAGCAGGGGACCCAGUCAUCCAUCACGUGUCUCUAAUCAGAGCAGUUUGGACUCCGAACGCGACCGGGACUCGGAUGAUGAUGAUGGGACGAUGGAGGGCGAUGAAGGUAGUGAGGAAGAUGAGCGGCCCUUCGGGAGCUUCUCGGGCCCCGGGGCCACCGCAGAUGUCCAUGGAGCGCCGUCUCCUGCUGUCAGGGUCAAACAGGAGCCCGAGGACGAUCUCUCACCCGUCGGGCGACCGUCUGUGUCUCCUCCUAACGGCCAAGCGGACUGGAGCUACGAGGAUCACUUUAAAACAGAUAUAAUGACUCCUCAUCACAGAUCUCUCAGGUCGUGUGUUUGGAGGAAGAAGGUUGAGAGACGUUUUAAUGCCAUCUCUCUGUGA